rnacentral:rRNA from 1 species
AUUGAACGCUGGCGGCAGGCCUAACACCUGCAAGUCGAGCGAGCGGCGGACGGGUGAGUAAUGUCUGGGAAACUGCCUGAUGGAGGGGGAUACCUACUGGAAACGGUAGCUCAUACCGCAUACCAUCAGAUGUGCCCAGAUGUGAUUAGCUAGUAGGUGGGGUAAAGGCUCACCUAGGCGACGAUCCCUAGCUGGUCUGAGAGGAUGAUCAGCCACACUGGAACUGAGACACGGUCCAGACUCCUACGGGAGGCAGCAGUGGGGAAUAUUGCACAAUGGGCGCAAGCCUGAUGCAGCCAUGCCGCGUGUAUGAAGAAGGCCUUCGGGUUGUAAAGCACUUUCAGCGGGGAGGCGUUACUCACAGAAGAAGCACCGGCUAACUCCGUGCCAGCAGCCGCGGUAAUUC